rnacentral:tRNA from 9 species
GGAGAGGUGGCAGAGUGGUCGAAUGCACCGCACUCGAAAUGCGGCAUACGUGCAAGCGUAUCGGGGGUUCGAAUCCCCCCCUCUCCGCCA